rnacentral:lncRNA from 1 species
AAAAAAACAAAACUGGAACAGUACUGGGAGUUAAGUGAUGGAAGAUCUGAAGGUUUUUGUUCCAUCUUGCAUCUGAAGUAUGGAACAAGAAAAUUGCCAGUAUCAAGAUUCUCAUCACCUGCGAUGAGAAUCAAUAACGUACAGCUCUGUGGAGAAGAGCCAGGCUAAAACUGUAAGGUAGAAUGGCUGACAUGGCUGAAAGCCAUUUGGAUCUCACCUCUGGAGCUGGAGUAAGAAUCUGUACCUAAGACCCCACAUUCAAAACAAAGAACAUACGACUUCAAAUCAGGACUGGAGGCAGCUGCUCUUUGGUCACUGUGGAGGAAACCGGCUCAUCUUUAACAAUUGUGCCAUCUUGAGCGCUACCAACAAAUACAGAAGGGUGAAGCCAGGCUGGUAGAGAGCAGUAGGGGGUUACGGUAGGUUG